rnacentral:rRNA from 1 species
UGAAGUUUCGGAUCGUAAAACUCUGUGUUAGGGAAGAACAAGUACCGUCGAAUAGGGCGGUACCUUGACGGUACCUAACCAGAAAGCCACGGCUAACUACGUGCCAGCAGCCGCGGUAAUACGUAGGUGGCAAGCGUUGUCCGGAAUUAUUGGGCGUAAAGCGCGCGCAGGCGGUUUCUUAAGUCUGAUGUGAAAGCCCCCGGCUCAACCGGGGAGGGUCAUUGGAAACUGGGGAACUUGAGUGCAGAAGAGGAGAGUGGAAUUCCACGUGUAGCGGUGAAAUGCGUAGAGAUGUGGAGGAACACCAGUGGCGAAGGCGACUCUCUGGUCUGUAACUGACGCUGAGGCGCGAAAGCGUGGGGAGCGAACAGGAUUAGAUACCCUGGUAGUCCACGCCGUAAACGAUGAGUGCUAAGUGUUAGAGGGUUUCCGCCCUUUAGUGCUGCAGCAAACGCAUUAAGCACUCCGCCUGGGGAGUACGGUCGCAAGACUGAAACUCAAAGGAAUUGACGGGGGCCCGCACAAGCGGUGGAGCAUGUGGUUUAAUUCGAAGCAACGCGAAGAACCUUACCAGGUCUUGACAUCCUCUGACAACCCUAGAGAUAGGGCUUCCCCUUCGGGGG